rnacentral:lncRNA from 1 species
UAGGCUAGGUGAAUCUCAUAUUUGUGGCUAGAUUUGGGCUAAAAGGGCCACACGAGCAUGUGGGCCCAUUUGGGCCGAGAAUAGGCUUUAGGCCCAUUCGUAUUGUUAUCCCUGUUUAGAAUACUUUAGUUUACUAAAAUUACCGAAAUACCCUUAGUUUGUAAAAAUACUGAAAUACCCUCGAUUUGUAAAAUUACUGAAAUACCUUCGACUUGUAAAAUUACCAAAGUACCCCUGAUUUAUAGAAUUACCGUUUUACC